CCCCGAUUCUUGGGGAAGAAGGCUGGCCGGGACUCCACCCGCAGAGGCAGUGUGUCCGUGCGCCAGUGGCUGGGGAGCAUGGGUGUGGGGGUGCUGUUUUACCCAUGCGCUGCAGUGGAGGCCCAUGUGUUUGACAAAAGACUGCUCCUAGCAGUUGAAACCUGUUUCUUAAAGCAGAUCAAAACAACAGCCUGGAUAUUUGACUGUCCUUCUGGGAGUGGCUAUGGAGACUUCCAUGAUGACAUCCAUGAGUCAAAAUUUACCUGUACAUCACUGGAAAGACUCCUGCUAGUUAUUCCUGAGGUAUAUUAAGCACCUGUCUGACUUGGUAACGAGCCACUGCCUAAUUAUGCUAGUCAAAAUAGAUUUUUAAAAAUACUGCCUUUAUGUUGGAUUAGCUUUCUGUUUAAAAUUACAAUGAUCUCUAGUUCACACAAAAUGACAACCCAGAGUAUGGGUUGUUAGUUUCUGGAUUAUCAGUUAGAUGCAAACCUGGAACUAUAGGUUUAACCACAAACAACUUUGAUGUGUUGUUGAGUUGUGAACACUGGGUUCCAUUAAUUCUGAGUUGUUGCUGUUUUGUGCAAGCUAAGAACAAUGGUUUGCCUGUGGACUGUUUUACCAGGUUAUAGAGUUGGUGGACAAGAGUGGUACCCCCCCCCCCCCCCGCAAACCUCUCUGUGUCGCAGGACCACAAAGGAAUUUGGGAUACAGGGAGAGAAUGAGUAAAAAGAAUCAAACAAUCCAGGAACUGGAAAAACCACCUGUACUUUGAGUGAUCAUCUGGCAGACAAACCAUGGGUAAGCCCUGGGUAAGGCAACAAACUACACUCUGGGUUAUCAUUAUGUGUAAACAAGGUCAAGAAUCAGGAUCAGAAGAGUAUCUUUAACAUUCUUUCUGUCAUAAUUGCUAUUUUACUGAUAAAAUCUGUAAUGAUUUGUAAACAAGGUCAUGUUAUUUUGUAUAAUCAAAGAUUUACAAUGGAGUGUCUAAGAGGUUCAGUCAAGAGUUUACAGAUGCUUUUGAAAAAAGUGCUGCCAUUUGCAGAAGCAUAACAUCACCUAAUUCAGAUGGAACAAGAAAGACAAAGCUGGGCAUGGUCAUCAGCAUACUGAUGGCACCUUUCCCCAAAUCCAGUUUCGUAUAAAUAUUAAAUGGCAUGGGGCCCCACAGCACAACGGGCAAGGGGCCUAGCAGAGAUCAGCCUUUGCUACUUUCUAGGACCAGCGCCUCCAGCUUCCAUCACACUGAGCUGCUCCAGGAUACCAUGAUUAAUGGUAUCAAAGGCUACUGAGAGAUCAUGAGGAAUUAACAGGGUCACACUCCCUCACCUGAUCCCAGUCAUCAGUCAGGGAUCAAGUGGGCAUAGUCAUCACACGUUUCCAGGUCCAGGGCAGGCCUCUCAAGGAGAAAGUGGAGCUGGUACCACCCCUUCCACAAGGUAGCACCAAUUUCUGUACCUGCCCAGCUAGGCUCCUCUGAGUAACUCUUACCAGCGACAAUAGGGAAGGGGUGAGAUGAUAUGGCCACGCCAAACAGGUUCAACUGGACCCAAGAGUGGCCACCUGGAGAAGUGCCUUUUCUACUACACUGAAAGUUCUUUCUUGAAUUGGGCCAUAAAGAACCACCAAGAAAAUUACAUCCACUGGCCUACAUACCAGGCUGGUUGAUAAGAGAGUUGCUGUCUGAUACAUCUAAAAGGCACCAGAUUGGGGGUGACUCUUGAUUUUGUUUUUGAAGUCAUAUGAUCAGUGCUUAAUGUUCCAACAAUGACUCCUUUUUGAGUAGUUUUGAGCACGUAACAGAGGCAGAUCUUUUGAAAUUUAGCCCCUGCGGACACCGCAGGAUGGAAAGUUACAGCAGGUUGUAGCAACUUAGGCUGGGAAGAGAAUUUCCUAUUGCAGUGGCAUGAAGAACAUCACCCUAUUUUUAACUUGAGUGCACAAGAAGCUCUUUUCACAACUGUCAGCUUCUCUCAUGCAUGGAUACAAGCUAACCCAAGGGAAUACUUAAGGUCUUUACAUCUGGCAGUAUCAUUUAAUCAAAAAGUUAUGUUGGGAAAAUCAAAAUGCAAGGGUACCAGUACUAAUAAAUGCUGCAAAUGUCGGACACUUCUUCACGCAGAAGCCGUUGGAUUCAUCAUCUUUAUGAAGUCCUGUUUUCACGGAUGUCAAUGCUUCUGAAGUAAACAUGGUUGAAGAUUGACCUAACCUUGGUGGUUCUCAACUCUAUGUGGGCUUACUACCCAAGAGAAACAUUCUGAAAACUUUUUCAGAGUUAGCAUUCGGCCUGCUAUCUCAUCAGUCUGGUCUGCAAGUCAAAACAGGAGGCCCAGCUGUAGCCACUUCUGUGCCCCGGCAUGUAGAUCAAACUGGGAGAAAAGCUCACAGGAUGUUACAGUGCUGGGGAAAGCCUAGAAUGGAGCAGGAAAAGUAGGGAUAGAGAUUUCCAAAGAGCCACAGCACCCUCAAUUACAUCAGUCUUUCUGGGAAGAUGAGGAUUAUGCUGGCAUUGUGCUUUUUAGUGAGAAAAUAAAUAUUCAGUUCAUGUCUACCUGAGGGUCAGACAUAUGUGGGCCUUCUUGUGGCUGCUCCCAGGAACAACCUGUCAAGGCAGGCCAGAUUAGCUCGCUGCUGUAGGCAGACACUUUUAUCCAGAUGGUCUCUUAAUCCUCAAAUGGCCUCGUUGGUUGCUGAAAUAGGGUUCAAGUUGUGAGUGCUAUUUAUUUUGUUAAUGCGUUUUUUUACUGAUGUGUUUGUUUUGUGACAAUAGCAGAAUUUGAGGUGGAAAAAGAGGAUAUAUGUUUUAAUAAAUAAAUAAAAAUAAUAACCAAUCAGUUCUGCUAUCGUGGUCAGUUUGGUGCCACUAAAGCAAGUGUUUAUUGCUUCAAGUGGAAACAAAAGCACACAUUAUAUCAAGACAGCACUCUUUUGCAAAACAAGAGGUAGAUUAAAAGAUUUGUAUUUGUCAUUAUGAACCAUACCCAAGGAUGGACAACAAAAAUUCUCCAGUAAUCCAGCAGAACCCUAGAGUCAACAAUGCAGAAUUUUACCAAUCAAGAGUUGUUUUACCACAGCAGUUCUUGGCCAGGAAGAAAGAACUGUGACUCCAUUGUCACUUCCAUCUUCAGCUCCAUUAUAACACAAAAACUUCCAUAUGCAUUGGUCUUUAAGUUGGGGUUAGAGCUACACCCAUCUUUAAUAUGGAAAAAAUUGAGAAGCACCAUACCUGACCCAUAACAGAGAUGGAGUAUUAUUUGGAAGUGUGACUCUUCCCCUAGGUCAGUGCAGCAAAUACAAAUCAUUUCUGUCUUCUGGCAUGUUAGCAUGUUCUUUCUUUUACCUUCUGUGACUUAGGGAAGCAUGCCCUGUUUCUCACCUUGCAAUAAUUUACUAGUAAAAUCUUCAACCUUUCUUCUGAAUCAUUAAUUUAAAUGUAGAGAUGAUUGAUGAAUCACAUCAACAGUUCCAAUUCUGUAACUUCUUAUUUUCAGUUUAGUUUUUUGAGUGUUCAGAUAACUAGUUUCUUCAGAAUUCUUCUUCGGUGUGUGGUCACUCCCAUGCAUUGUCAAAUAUGUAUGACAUGCUUCUUUUAGUAUUCGCUGCUUCAGAAUCUACUUCGAUGUGAAGCAGUACUCAUGUGUUGUAAAUCUGCUAGCUGCUGAUCACUGUCUGAGCCCAGUUCAAAACCCAGAAUUGUAAUCUUUAGAGUCCUGAAGGGUUUAGACCAAGGAUACUUGAAGGGGUUUCCUGCCUUGGUAUGAAUCUACCCACCCACCAAGAUCUAGAAGGAGUCCUCAUCCAUAUUCCACUUUUAUUGGGCGGCUCUAUUAACAGGGACUGACAACAAGACUGAAGUUACCGCAGCACUGAGCUCCUCCAGAACUUCCCACCUGCCAAAGCAUUGCAUGCAGCAGACUCAUCUGGUUUUUUGUUCUGCAAAAGCUAUUUGAAUUUUCUCUGUAUGAAUUGUACGUGGCCUGGGUUUAAUGAUUCCCGCAGGGUUUUCUUACUGUAUUUAUUUUUAACUACUCUUGAUAAACAACCUAAGGUAUCUUUC